CGUCUCAACUCGUCCUCUCAGCUUCCAUCGUCUCAGCUCAUGUCUCUUUCAUCCUCAGUCUAGAAAUGUUCCCACGCUUCUGUUGCCUCAAGUGAAAGCUUUUCGUCUCAGCUUUUUGUCUCCGAAGAAAGACAUUGACAUCUGGUGUACGUGAAACUCGAAGAAAGACAUUGACAUCGAGUAAGUGUUCUAUUUCUCCUCUUUGUUCUUCUUUCCGUUGUCAUCCUUCUCACUGUUCCCAUUUUCAGAUCUCAUGAAAAGAAUUUCUUUUGAAGUUAGAAAAGGAAAAUGUUGCCUCAACCAUCUCAAAUAAGAAAUUAAUUUCAUUCUGGAAGAACAAGUUUUUUAAUGUUAUUUCUUAUGGGAAAUAUCUAUAGUUUUAUACUACUAGUUGUGUACGAUAUUUAACAAUUAAAUUUUCUAUUGUGCGAUACUACUAGUUAGAGUCAUUGUUGGGAAAAGUAGAUGCCGCUGCAAAGAAUUGGUGGAAUUCUCUCAUUAGGAAUGAAUAUUUUUGAUGUUUUUGGUGAGGCUUAAAUUUCUUGUAAACUAUCUGCUGGUUUAGUAAUUGUGACACACUGGAUUAAUGCAUGUUGUUGGAGGUUUUGUUUGGAAGUGCAUGAAGGUAAUGGUUUAAAAGAAAGCUCAUGGUAAUGGAUAUUCACCAUGUAAUUACUCUUUUCUAGCCAGCAACAUCUGGAGUACUACCUGUAGUAUAGGACUUGCUAUGAUAUUUGUGGUUUGAUUAUUUAUCUUGUUUGUUCUUGAAACUCCUACAUUGAAAAAUUGCAUCUGGAUUUAUUUUUUAGGGAUCCUUUGCAAUAGUUGUGGCAUUUCUUGUGCUAUGCAUGUACUAGCAAAGAUUAAACUUUUCUUGUAAUUAUAAUGGAAAAAACUUAAAUUCUUGAGUUAUGACUUACAAAAUUCUUCUCUUUCUCAUUUUGAUGUAAGAUUAAUGACCUUAAAUGUCAUGUCCAUUUCAUAAAAGUAAGUUUCUCAAAUUUAAGUACUGAGUGAUAUAUAACUUUAUUCCAACAAAAUUACUUUUUAUGGUAUCUAUUGAAUUACUUUGAAAAUACAAUGACACUAUGACAGGCAACUUGAUGAUAAUAUUCCAUAUAUUUCUACAUAUAAAAACAAGUCAUUUUCUCCAAAGUAGAGUCAAAUUUUGUUCAAAAUCUUUUACUUAUAUGUGGCUUAAAUUUUUAAACUUUGUCUACAAAGUCUUUAUUAAAGACUACCAUAAAGAAGUCGGAUGGGGAAGAUUUUAAACAUUAGGAAAAAGAAAGGGAAGUUCUGUUAAAGAAAGGGAAGUUAUGUUAUUGAAGGACUUGUUGAUCUUUCUAUGUGUUUGGUGUUUUGUUAUUUGUAUGCUUGUACUACGAGUCCCUUAUUUAUAAAAGAGAGUAUAGUUUAUACUCUAAAGCAAGCUGGCUGGAUUUAGAAUGCUUUAGAAUCUUGAUUGGAAUAAGAAUGCUUCGAUAACUUGAUUGGAAAUAGAAUGCUUUAUUAUUCUGUAAGUUGACUGGAAUUAGAAUUCAUCAGUAAGGAAAAGUUUAUUUUUUAAUCUAAGUUUUGAAAAGCUUGUAAGCUUUUUUCAGCUUUCCUAGUAAUAAAUUUCAGAAACUGUGUGGUGGGUGAAGUUGCUGCUGGGACUCACACAAGUGGCUCUAUCUUUUUUUUUUAAAAAAAAUUAAAGUCGGGCCAUAGACCCCUUUUAUUGCCAAAUAUAACCAACUGUACAAGAUCAGGCCCAAAAGUGGCCUUGUCCAAUAAGACAAAAAUAAAAUAAGAAAAAGGACCAAAUGAACAAAGAUGUGGAAAGGUCACUGUAACAUAUCUUGAACAUAUCUGCUGGAAGAAGCGGGUCAUGGAGGAAGACAAGGUUGUUGUUAUUUUCUGAUCCCCGGAGGAAGCACCAUAAUUAAGCGUGUGAGCUACUUGUCGUCGUCCAACCCCCGGAGAAAGCACCACUAACAAAGAUAAUCUCCAUCUUCACUUCUAGGUGAAAAUGAAAAGAAAUUCACUCUUCUCUAUCUCACAAUAGGAGGUGGCUCUAUCUCAAUUGGUGAACAUCGCAAGAAACUUGCUAUUGAAAAGGGUCGAGAUCCAACACCAAGCGAGUUACAUUUGCAUGUCCAUACGCAUGGUAAUGAUGGAAAAUCUUUUGUUGGUGAACGCUCUUGAAUUGUCCAUGUAA